rnacentral:snRNA from 1 species
AAAACUAUACAUUAAAGC